CAGAGUGCUGGGAUUACAGGCGUGAGCCACUGUGCCCACCCCUGGCUUUUCUUCUAUUUGCAAAACCUGACUGUGAUAUAUGCUGCCCUUUCUGUGGAUGCUGUUUUCUUAGGACACAGCCUGAACUGUGGUUAAUCACUAUUCCCAGACAACUCACCUGCGUUUCGUGUGUGUGUUCGCAGGUGCCAAAUAUACCCUGGGAAUGCGCUCAGAAAUGGACCCUCGGUUUACACGUCUACCUAGUAGGUCAAGCUUGUUACUAAUCAUCAUGUUAUUCAUAUCCUCAUUUAUUCUUCCUGGUCUGCCUAUCUUUGAAUGAAGAGUUUUGAAGAUUACUGUGACAAGUGCAGAGUAAACUCUCCUUCCUUCCUCCUCAAAACUCUUGCCCUCAUUUUUCUGAUUCGACCUUGUGGACAAGUGGCUGAGCUUUCUGUCACAGGAGUGAUUGAGUGGCAUGUUUGGACCCCCUUCUACACUUGGAGUUCAGGAGAAAAGACGGAAGAGAACAUAGAAGAGCAAUGCUUAGAUAACUGAGCAUUUUCCAAAACGGAAUAAAAGACAUAAAUUUGAAGUUUCACGAGUGUGACAAACCCUAAGCAGCCUAAAUAAAAAGAAAUCUACAUCUAGACGCAGUGCAGUCAAACCACAUGACACGAAGGACAAAGAU